GAGGGUAUAGCUCAGUGGUAGAGUGCAUGCCUAGCAUGCACUAGGUACUGGGUUCAAGCCCCAGUACCUCCA
rfam:Camelus ferus unplaced genomic scaffold scaffold750, whole genome shotgun sequence.